rnacentral:rRNA from 1 species
UAGGGAAUCUUCGGCAAUGGAUGAAAGUCUGAUCGAGCAACGCCGCGUGAGGGAAGAAGGUGUUCGGGGUGGAAAACUCUGUUGGCAGAGAAAAACAAGGACGAUAGUAACUGAACGUACCCUGACGGUAGCUAACCAGAAAGCCACGUCUAAGCACGUGCCAGCAGCCGCGGUAAUACGUAGGUGGCAAGCGUUAUUCGGUGUUAUUGGGCGUAAAGCGGGCGCUGGCGGUUACUUAAGUCAGAGGUGAAAGACCGCAGCUCAACCGGGGAGAGUCAUUGGAUACUGAAGGACUUGAGUGCAGACGAGGAAAGUGGAAUUGACUGUGUAGCGGUGAAAUGCGUAUAUAUAUGGAAGAACACCAGUAGCGAAGGCAGCUCUCUGGUCUGUAACUGACGCUGAGGCUCGAAAGCGUGGGGAUCAAACAGG